rnacentral:tRNA from 2 species
UCCCCGAUCGUCUAACGGUAGGACAGCGGCCUUUGGAGCCGUUAAUCGUGGUUCGAAUCCAUGUCGGGGAGCCA